AUGAGGACUGAACCAGUUCAUUGGGCUAGGGCAUUUUUCCCUACAGGAGCUAACUGUGAAUCUGUGGACAAUAAUCUGUGUGAGUCAUUUAACAAUGCCAUCAUAGAAUCAAGGUUCUACCCAAUUAUUUCACAGCAAGAGAUGAUAAGAAAGAAGAUGCUUGUUAGGGUGCAAGAGCAGAGAGCCAAAUCAGCAACAUGGAAGGGCAAAAUUUGCCCAAAUGUUUUCAAGAAGCUAAAGGUGAGUAUAAGGUUGACACGGGACAUUGAGGUGCUCUAG
rnacentral:rRNA from 1 species